rnacentral:pre_miRNA from 1 species
GUGUUUGCGGCUGUGGCAUCAUCAAGAUUCACAAGGACCCGAUCCCCGUCCUCCUCCAUGAGAAUCUUGAUGAUGCUGCAUCAGCAAACAA